UCUCAGAAUUCCAGAUGUGUU
rnacentral:piRNA from 1 species